rnacentral:tRNA from 1 species
GCCUUCGUGGUGUAAUGGUCAACACAUUCGGCGCAUAUGGGAGAGGUCCGGGGUUCGAGUCCCGGCGACGGCA